UACGAAGGGGGCUAGCGUUGCUCGGAAUAACUGGGCGUAAAGGGUGCGUAGGCGGGUCUUUAAGUCCGGGGGGAAAUCCUGGAGCUCAACUCCAGAACUGCCUUUGAUACUGAAGAUCUUGAGUUCGGGAGAGGUGAGUGGAACUGCGAGUGUAGAGGUGAAAUUCGUAGAUAUUCGCAAGAACACCAGUGGCGAAGGCGGCUCACUGGCCCGAUACUGACGCUGAGGCACGAAAGCGUGGGGAGCAAACAGG
rnacentral:rRNA from 1 species